CAUUCUCCUCUCGGUCAUAUUCCGCCACCAUCUCAUUCUUCUACCUCAUUGCCCUUCUUUCUCUUUGUUCCUCCUGCUGUCUCACUGAAUGGCCAUCUUUGUACCUUUUCAUCGCAUUUGACUAUUCUUCCUCAAUCAUUCCACCUGUAAUUGUAUUCUUUAGUAUCUGUUUUGUAGUUAUUUACCCCUCUUUGCCUGGUUAGAGGGUUGAAAUAUCUCUGAAUCUUGGUGGAGUGAGCUGUCUGUAUGUUUUAGUGACAGCUCUCCUGUUUACUUGCAUUUCAGCCUCCAAAUCAUGGGUCCUCAAACUCCGGCC